GCUAUGACCACAGCCAAAGCCUGUCAACCAAGCGCAACAGCGCAGGAAACACCGUUAGGCCGAUCGGGAAAAAUCGUGCAUCUGGAAAACGCAGUGAGCAAUAUCUCUUAUCUACCUCCUCGUGAGUACAGUAACAAAGUCUAGCUAUGUCCGCUACCCAAGGUUGCCAACAAAAGCAUCGCCGAUGCGAAAAACACGUUCAUCGUCAGCACCACAACCAUCUGCUUUGCUCGACGACUCCGGAAGAAGGGCCCGUCUGAAGGAGCUCAUUCGCAGCAGCAGCAACAUCCGAUUUUGUCCCGCAAACACGAACCCUGCUUAUUCAGCACAGUAUCAACAGGACAAGUCAGGACAACGCCCAGGGUAGCUUGAAAGAGGUUGCAAGAUUCCUGCUGACUUUCUCCUAGUCCGGAGGACCAUAGCUGACCAGGCUUCCCAGAAAUAAGAAAAUCGAACAAGUACAUCCACAAGGAACUCCCGAUUAAGACCUCCCGAUUAAGAUUACCCGAUUAAGACUACCCGAUUAAGACUUCCCGAUCAUGACUAUCUUCAACCAACCAUGUCAACUCCCGAUUAAGACUUCCCGAUCAAGAACACCUUCAACCAACCAGGUCAACUUCCGAUUACGACUUCCCGAUCUAGACGAAAUUCUCAAAAGCUAUCUACCAACUUUGUCAAAACCACAAGCUAUGAGAUCACCAUCUACCACGGUCCACACCCCAAAAUACGCGCAGCGGAACCACAAAUUACCCUCGCCUGAAAUGGUGUUGACAGUUCAACUGUCCGAUUCAGACUUGACCAUAAAUCACCAACCUCACAAAAUGAUACAUAAUGGAUCAUGCACAGUUGUCAAGGGGGUUGCCAAGGAAAUAUCAAAAGGAACGCGAUCUGGAGGCGCGGUAUAACCUCUAUUCCGGGCCCUUGGUAAUUAAGAGGAUUAAAUCCCUCUUUUCCUUAGACUUCUGUUGCUUUUAGUAUAAACCAGUUAAGUUCCCACCUAAAUUUCGUUUGUUAAGUUCUAUUUGUAAGAUCUAGGUUAUUAUCUCUAUCAAUAACCAUUUGAUUUUGGAUUUUCGUAUGCUGCUGAGGUGGAUGUUAUUAAGUAGAUUGUUUUAAGGAUUCGAAGGAGUUUCUUUCUGCCAGAUAUACUGGUAAUGAUCGACACAUUUGCCAUAACUUGUUGGCUUUAAUUUUGUUGGAUUCUGCCAAGAUUCGUUGGCAUAGAGAUAUAGUUUAUUGUCUUUAGUUUUGAAGAAACUCACCACUGCAGGGUGACAUCAGUACGAGGUUUUCUCGACACAGCCGUCGAUUUUCAUAUCUCCUUCGAACUCCUAGUGGCGUGAUUAUGAAUUUUUCAUGGAUCCUUGUCAUGAUCCAUGAAAAAUUCUACCAAAGCAGCAAUGUUGUGUUGCAUUUAAGCUUAUAGCUAAGUUAUUAGUCCUAAAAAUAUUUCACGAUACGAGCGAUUGGCAAACUAACACAUAAAAACCCAUCCCCAUAUAGAGAAAAAUCAGCGUGUUUUUAUUAUUAAACCAAAAUUGGUUAAAAUACGCCAAGCGUGAAAUUUUAUGUCAAGAGCACCCAAAAAUGAGGAAAGGAAACGCAGCGUGCAACAAGAGCUGUCAAACGGGCCACGCGGAACAGAUCCGCCAUUUCGUUCCUAGCACCGUCGUGAACAGACGGAAAAAGUGCCGCUAAAAAAAUCGGGAAGUGGGGUUGCGUUCGCGGAUUUGCCGGAAAAAGCAGAAAUCCACUCCAGAGCGCGUGCCAGACGAGCCGGAAGGUACACCUUCAAUAGAUUUGGCCGAAGAAAAGAAAAAGAAACCUAUCGACGAGACAAGCCGGCCAGAAGAGGUGGACAGGAAAAAACAAAAAGAGCCGCACAACCACGCUGCGUAAGUCGUUCGCACUAGACCCGU